rnacentral:rRNA from 1 species
UACGUAGGGGGCAAGCGUUGUCCGGAUUUAUUGGGCGUAAAGCGCGCGCAGGCGGUCUAUUAAGUCUGAUGUGAAAGCCCACGGCUCAACCGUGGAGGGCCAUUGGAAACUGGUAGGCUUGAGUGCAGGAGAGGAGAGCGGAAUUCCCGGUGUAGCGGUGAAAUGCGUAGAUAUUGGGAGGAACACCGGUGGCGAAGGCGGCCCCCUGGACCGGUACUGACGCCGAGGUGCGAAAGCGUGGGGAGCAAACAGG